rnacentral:rRNA from 1 species
AGCGAACGCUGGCGGCAGGCUUAAUACAUGCAAGUCGAGCGGCCGUAGCAAUACGGCAGCGGCAGACGGGAGAGUAACACGUGGGAACGUGCCCUUCAGUUCGGAACAACCAAGGGAAACUUUGGCUAAUACCGGAUACGCCCUUACGGGGAAAGAUUUAUCGCUGAAGGAUCGGCCCGCGUCUGAUUAGCUAGUUGGUAGGGUAAUGGCCCACCAAGGCGACGAUCAGUAGCUGGUCUGAGAGGAUGAUCAGCCUCACUGGGACUGAGACACGGCCCAGACUCCUACGGGAGGCAGCAGUAGCGAAUAUUGGACAAUGGGGGAAACCCUGAUCCAGCCAUGCCGCGUGAGUGAUGAAGGCCCUAGGGUUGUAAAGCUCUUUCGGCGGGGAAGAUAAUGACGGUACCCGCAUAAGAAGCCCCGGCUAACUUCGUGCCAGCCGCCGCGGUAACAC